GAUGAACGCUAGCUACAGGCUUAACACAUGCAAGUCGAGGGACCGGCGCACGGGUGAGUAACACGUAUCCAACCUGCCCUUUACUCGGGGAUAGACUUUCGAAAGACAGAUUAAUACCCGAUAUAAAGGCUGGGGAUGUGUUCCAUUAGGUUGUUGGUGAGGUAACGGCUCACCAAGCCUUCGAUGGAUAGGGGUUCUGAGAGGAAGGUGCCCUACAUUGGAACUGAGAGACGGUCCAAACGCCUACUGGAGGCAGAAGUGAGGAAUAUUGGUCAAGGUGCGCUAGCCUGAACCAGCCAAUUAGCGUGAAGGAUGAAGGCUUAUGGGUCGUAAACUUCUUUUAUAUAUAAUAUGUAUUAUAUGAAUAAGGAUCGGCUAACUCCGUGCCAGCAGCCGCGGUAAUUC
rnacentral:rRNA from 1 species